rnacentral:rRNA from 1 species
AUAUCAAUAAGCGGAGGAAAAGAAACCAACAGGGAUUGCCCUAGUAACGGCGAGUGAAGCGGCAACAGCUCAAAUUUGAAAUCUGGCUCUUUUAGGGUCCGAGUUGUAAUUUGUAGAGGGUGCUUUGGCGUUGGCUGUGGUCUAAGUUCCUUGGAACAGGACGUCGCAGAGGGUGAGAAUCCCGUAUGUGGCCGCCAGUCUUCGCCGUGUAAAGCCCCUUCGACGAGUCGAGUUGUUUGGGAAUGCAGCUCAAAAUGGGUGGUAUAUUCCAUCUAAAGCUAAAUAUUGGCCAGAGACCGAUAGCGCACAAGUA